GCAGUCGACGAACUCUGGUAUUGAUUGGUGCUUGCAUCAUGAUUUACAUUUGAGUGAGUGGCGAACUGGUGAGUAACACGUGGGAAACCUGCCCCCGUAAGGGGGGAUAACACCUGGAAACAGACCGAGGGACCGCAUAACAACUUGGACCGCAUGGUCCGAGCUUGAAAGAUGGCUUCGGCUAUCACUUUUGGAUGGUCCCGCGGCGUAUUAGCUAGAUGGUGGGGUAACGGCUCACCAUGGCAAUGAUACGUAGCCGACCUGAGAGGGUAAUCGGCCACAUUGGGACUGAGACACGGCCCAAACUCCUACGGGAGGCAGCAGUAGGGAAUCUUCCACAAUGGACGAAAGUCUGAUGGAGCAACGCCGCGUGAGUGAAGAAGGGUUUCGGCUCGUAAAACUCUGUUGUUAAAGAAGAACAUAUCUGAGAGUAACUGUUCAGGUAUUGACGGUAUUUAACCAGAAAGCCACGGCUAACUACGUGCCAGCAGCCGCGGUAAUACGUAGGUGGCAAGCGUUGUCCGGAUUUAUUGGGCGUAAAGCGAGCGCAGGCGGUUUUUUAAGUCUGAUGUGAAAGCCUUCGGCUCAACCGAAGAAGUGCAUCGGAAACUGGGAAACUUGAGUGCAGAAGAGGACAGUGGAACUCCAUGUGUAGCGGUGAAAUGCGUAGAUAUAUGGAAGAACACCAGUGGCGAAGGC
rnacentral:rRNA from 1 species